CCACCUUUGACAUGUACGGAAGUUGCCAGAGAUGGCUUCGUGCUCGAAAGAGAGCCGUAACACAGGUGCUGCAUGGCUGUCGUCAGCUCGUGUCGUGAGAUGUUGGGUUAAGUCCCGCAACGAGCGCAACCCUUGUCAUUAGUUGCUACGAAAGGGCACUCUAAUGAGACUGCCGGUGACGAACCGGAGGAAGGUGGGGAUGACGUCAAGUCCUCAUGGCCCUUAUAGGUGGGGCUACACACGUCAUACAAUGGCCGGUACAAAGGGCAGCCAACCCGCGAGGGGGAGCUAAUCCCAUAAAGCCGGUCGUAGUCCGGAUCGCAGUCUGCAACUCGACUGCGUGAAGUCGGAAUCGCUAGUAAUCGUGGAUCAGCAUGUCACGGUGAAUACGUUCCC
rnacentral:rRNA from 1 species